rnacentral:rRNA from 1 species
GAUGAACGCUGGCGGCGUGCCUAAUACAUGCAAGUCGAGCGAACAGAUGAGGAGCUUGCUCCUCUGACGUUAGCGGCGGACGGGUGAGUAACACGUGGAUAACCUACCUAUAAGACUGGGAUAACUUCGGGAAACCGGAGCUAAUACCGGAUAAUAUAUUGAACCGCAUGGUUCAAUAGUGAAAGACGGUUUUGCUGUCACUUAUAGAUGGAUCCGCGCCGCAUUAGCUAGUUGGUAAGGUAACGGCUUACCAAGGCAACGAUGCGUAGCCGACCUGAGAGGGUGAUCGGCCACACUGGAACUGAGACACGGUCCAGACGACUACGGGAGGCAGCAGUAGGGAAUGUUCCGCAAUGGGCGAAAGCAUGACGGAGCAGCGCCGCGUGAGUGAUGAAGGUCUUCGGAUCGUAAAACUCUGUUAUUAGGGAAGAACAAAUGUGUAAGUAACUAUGCACGUCUUGACGGUACCUAAUCAGAAAGCCACGGCUAACUACGUG